GCUGUGCUGGCUUACUGGUUAAGGCUCUUGAUUACUGAUCAGAGAGUCAGGGUUCAAGCCCUAGCACUGCC